GUCCCAGGACUUGUGCAGCGCGCGUCCCGCGUGGCUGCUGGGGGCAAACACUCCCUCAUACUUACUGAGGAGGGCCAGGUGUGGUCGUGUGGGCGCAGCACGGUGGGCCAGUUAGGCCAGGGCCCCGACGUGACGUUCUCGCCAGUUUUCUCGCCGACGCUCGCGCCUCAUGACGCCAAGUUUGUCGCCAUCGCCGCGGGAUACGCUCACUGUGCUGCUAUUACCAGUAGCGGUCAAGUCUACCUGUGGGGCUGUGGUAGGCACGGCAAGUUGGGGUUUGGGGAGAGCAAAG